rnacentral:rRNA from 1 species
UCCUACGGGAGGCAGCAGUGGGGAAUAUUGCGCAAUGGGCGAAAGCCUGACGCAGCCAUGCCGCGUGUGUGAAGAAGGCCUUCGGGUUGUAAAGCACUUUCAAUUGGGAGGAAAGGUUCACGGCUAAUACCCGUGAGCUGUGACGUUACCUUUAGAAGAAGCACCGGCUAACUCCGUGCCAGCAGCCGCGGCAAUACGGAGGGUGCGAGCGUUAAUCGGAAUUACUGGGCGUAAAGCGCGCGUAGGUGGUCUGUUAAGUCGGAUGUGAAAGCCCCGGGCUCAACCUGGGAACUGCAUCCGAUACUGGCAGACUAGAGUGCGGGAGAGGGAGGUAGAAUUCCACGUGUAGCGGUGAAAUGCGUAGAUAUGUGGAGGAAUACCAGUGGCGAAGGCGGCCUCCUGGCUCGACACUGACACUGUGGUGCGAAAGCGUGGGGAGCAAACAGGAUUAGAUACCCUGGUAGUCCACGCCGUAAACGAUGUCUACUAGCUGUAGGGGUACUUGAGACCUUUGUAGCGCAGCUAACGCACUAAGUAGACCGCCUGGGGAGUACGGCCGCAAGGUUAAAACUCAAAUGAAUUGACGG